GGGUUGUGAGGUUAAGCGACUAAGCGUACACGGUGGAUGCCCUGGCAGUCAGAGGCGAUGAAGGACGUGCUAAUCUGCGAUAAGCGUCGGUGAGGUGAUAUGAACCGUUAUAACCGGCGAUUUCCGAAUGGGGAAACCCAGUGUGUUUCGACACACUAUCAUUAACUGAAUCCAUAGGUUAAUGAGGCGAACCGGGGGAACUGAAACAUCUAAGUACCCCGAGGAAAAGAAAUCAACCGAGAUUCCCCCAGUAGCGGCGAGCGAACGGGGAGGAGCCCAGAGCCUGAAUCAGUGUGUGUGUUAGUGGAAGCGUCUGGAAAGGCGCGCGAUACAGGGUGACAGCCCCGUACACAAAAAUGCACAUGUUGUGAGCUCGAUGAGUAGGGCGGGACACGUGGUAUCCUGUCUGAAUAUGGGGGGACCAUCCUCCAAGGCUAAAUACUCCUGACUGACCGAUAGUGAACCAGUACCGUGAGGGAAAGGCGAAAAGAACCCCGGCGAGGGGAGUGAAAAAGAACCUGAAACCGUGUACGUACAAGCAGUGGGAGCCUCUUUAUGGGGUGACUGCGUACCUUUUGUAUAAUGGGUCAGCGACUUAUAUUCUGUAGCAAGGUUAACCGAAUAGGGGAGCCGAAGGGAAACCGAGUCUUAACUGGGCGUUAAGUUGCAGGGUAUAGACCCGAAACCCGGUGAUCUAGCCAUGGGCAGGUUGAAGGUUGGGUAACACUAACUGGAGGACCGAACCGACUAAUGUUGAAAAAUUAGCGGAUGACUUGUGGCUGGGGGUGAAAGGCCAAUCAAACCGGGAGAUAGCUGGUUCUCCCCGAAAGCUAUUUAGGUAGCGCCUCGUGAAUUCAUCUCCGGGGGUAGAGCACUGUUUCGGCAAGGGGGUCAUCCCGACUUACCAACCCGAUGCAAACUGCGAAUACCGGAGAAUGUUAUCACGGGAGACACACGGCGGGUGCUAACGUCCGUCGUGAAGAGGGAAACAACCCAGACCGCCAGCUAAGGUCCCAAAGUCAUGGUUAAGUGGGAAACGAUGUGGGAAGGCCCAGACAGCCAGGAUGUUGGCUUAGAAGCAGCCAUCAUUUAAAGAAAGCGUAAUAGCUCACUGGUCGAGUCGGCCUGCGCGGAAGAUGUAACGGGGCUAAACCAUGCACCGAAGCUGCGGCAGCGACACUAUGUGUUGUUGGGUAGGGGAGCGUUCUGUAAGCCUGUGAAGGUGGCCUGUGAGGGUUGCUGGAGGUAUCAGAAGUGCGAAUGCUGACAUAAGUAACGAUAAAGCGGGUGAAAAGCCCGCUCGCCGGAAGACCAAGGGUUCCUGUCCAACGUUAAUCGGGGCAGGGUGAGUCGACCCCUAAGGCGAGGCCGAAAGGCGUAGUCGAUGGGAAACAGGUUAAUAUUCCUGUACUUGGUGUUACUGCGAAGGGGGGACGGAGAAGGCUAUGUUGGCCGGGCGACGGUUGUCCCGGUUUAAGCGUGUAGGCUGGUUUUCCAGGCAAAUCCGGAAAACCAAGGCUGAGGCGUGAUGACGAGGCACUACGGUGCUGAAGCGACAAAUGCCCUGCUUCCAGGAAAAGCCUCUAAGCAUCAGGUAACAUCAAAUCGUACCCCAAACCGACACAGGUGGUCAGGUAGAGAAUACCAAGGCGCUUGAGAGAACUCGGGUGAAGGAACUAGGCAAAAUGGUGCCGUAACUUCGGGAGAAGGCACGCUGAUAUGUAGGUGAAGCGACUUGCUCGUGGAGCUGAAAUCAGUCGAAGAUACCAGCUGGCUGCAACUGUUUAUUAAAAACACAGCACUGUGCAAACACGAAAGUGGACGUAUACGGUGUGACGCCUGCCCGGUGCCGGAAGGUUAAUUGAUGGGGUUAGCGGUAACGCGAAGCUCUUGAUCGAAGCCCCGGUAAACGGCGGCCGUAACUAUAACGGUCCUAAGGUAGCGAAAUUCCUUGUCGGGUAAGUUCCGACCUGCACGAAUGGCGUAAUGAUGGCCAGGCUGUCUCCACCCGAGACUCAGUGAAAUUGAACUCGCUGUGAAGAUGCAGUGUACCCGCGGCAAGACGGAAAGACCCCGUGAACCUUUACUAUAGCUUGACACUGAACAUUGAGCCUUGAUGUGUAGGAUAGGUGGGAGGCUUUGAAGUGUGGACGCCAGUCUGCAUGGAGCCGACCUUGAAAUACCACCCUUUAAUGUUUGAUGUUCUAACGUUGGCCCGUAAUCCGGGUUGCGGACAGUGUCUGGUGGGUAGUUUGACUGGGGCGGUCUCCUCCUAAAGAGUAACGGAGGAGCACGAAGGUUGGCUAAUCCUGGUCGGACAUCAGGAGGUUAGUGCAAUGGCAUAAGCCAGCUUGACUGCGAGCGUGACGGCGCGAGCAGGUGCGAAAGCAGGUCAUAGUGAUCCGGUGGUUCUGAAUGGAAGGGCCAUCGCUCAACGGAUAAAAGGUACUCCGGGGAUAACAGGCUGAUACCGCCCAAGAGUUCAUAUCGACGGCGGUGUUUGGCACCUCGAUGUCGGCUCAUCACAUCCUGGGGCUGAAGUAGGUCCCAAGGGUAUGGCUGUUCGCCAUUUAAAGUGGUACGCGAGCUGGGUUUAGAACGUCGUGAGACAGUUCGGUCCCUAUCUGCCGUGGGCGCUGGAGAACUGAGGGGGGCUGCUCCUAGUACGAGAGGACCGGAGUGGACGCAUCACUGGUGUUCGGGUUGUCAUGCCAAUGGCACUGCCCGGUAGCUAAAUGCGGAAGAGAUAAGUGCUGAAAGCAUCUAAGCACGAAACUUGCCCCGAGAUGAGUUCUCCCUGACUCCUUGAGAGUCCUGAAGGAACGUUGAAGACGACGACGUUGAUAGGCCGGGUGUGUAAGCGCAGCGAUGCGUUGAGCUAACCGGUACUAAUGAACCGUGAGGCUUAACCUUACAACGCCGAAGCUGUU
rnacentral:rRNA from 1 species